rnacentral:rRNA from 1 species
GACAGAGGUGGCAAGCGUUGUUCGGAAUCACUGGGCUUAAAGCGCACGUAGGCGGCCUUGCAAGUGUCUUGUGAAAUCCCUCGGCUCAACCGAGGAAUCGCUGGGCAUACUGCUCGGCUUGAGGCAGGUAUGGGCGAGUGGAACUCUUGGUGGAGCGGUGGAAUGCGUAGAUAUCAAGAGGAACGCCGGUGGUGAAGACGAUUCGCUGGGCCUGUCCUGACGCUGAGGUGCGAAAGCCAGGGGAGCAAACGGG